UCAGAUAAACAAUUUGACUGGAGAAAGC
rnacentral:piRNA from 1 species